UACGUAGGGGGGCUAGCGUUGUCCGGAAUCAUUGGGCGUAAAGAGCGUGUAGGCGGCUCGGUAAGUCCGCUCUGAAAGCCCGGGGCUCAACCCCGGGAGGCGGGCGGAUACUGUCGGGCUAGAGUCCGGAAGAGGCGAGUGGAAUUCCUGGUGUAGCGGUGAAAUGCGCAGAUAUCAGGAGGAACACCAAUAGCGAAGGCAGCUCGCUGGGACGGUACUGACGCUGAGACGCGAAAGCGUGGGGAGCAAACAGG
rnacentral:rRNA from 1 species